CGAACGUGGGUAACCUGCCUUAUAUGGGGGAUAGCCUUUCGAAAGGAAGAUUAAUACCGCAUAAGAUUGUAGUAUCGCAUGAUAUAGCAAUUAAAGGAGCAAUUCGCUAUAAGAUGGACCCGCGUCGCAUUAGCUAGUUGGUGAGGUAAUGGCUCACCAAGGCGACGAUGCGUAGCCGACCUGAGAGGGUGAUCGGCCACAUUGGGACUGAGACACGGCCCAGACUCCUACGGGAGGCAGCAUG
rnacentral:rRNA from 1 species